UUCUCUAAUUAGGUCAUUUGUGCCUCUCGUUUCUCUCUCUUCUCCCGCAUGUAUGAGAGGCGAUUUGGGGCGAUUCAUGUCUACCUUUGAUAUACAAAGGUUGUGCUUGCAGAAAUUCGAGAGUUUGUAGAUCCAACAUAAAACCAGUCGGGCUGUCGUACCUCUCUGUUGUCUGAUUUGUCUCUGUUUUCGCGCAUCUAUUUGACGCGAUUUUUGGGUUUCAACUUCAACCCUAAUGUUGUUCAGUAGUUGUGCGAUCUGUUCCUCAGUUGUGGCUCUCGUACCUCUUUGUUGUGUCAUUUCUCUCUGUUUUCACGCAUCUAUGUGACGCGAUUUUGGGGUUUCAACUUCAACCUUUCAGUUCAGUCGUUGUGCGAGGUAGUUCGAGGCUUUUGUGCAACCAGGUUUUUGAAGGAGUUGCAGGCAUCUGUGUGACGCGAUUUUGGGGUUUCAACUUCAACCCUUCAGUUCAGUCGUUGUGCGAGGUAGUUCGAGGCUUUUGUGCAACCAGGUCUUUGAAGUUGCUGCAGUACCAUGUAAUCCAUAUAUGCUAUUGGAAGAACUGGCACUACAUUGAAGGACAUGGCAGUAAGUUGUGGGCAGUGGCACCAGUGGGAUUUAUAGGAAGCAUUCUCCAGUUUCUACAACUCCAGGAAGCUAGUGAUCUCUAAGUUAAUCAAAUGGAGGCCUAUGCAAGUAUAAAGAAGUGUGUGUACAUUUUAUGAAUGAAUAUAAGUGAUCUCCAGUUGUGUGUACAUUUUAUGCUUAGUAGAAUGCUGCUGUUUCAUGGUGGAGUUGAAGAACAUGGCAGUAAGUUGUGGGCAGUGGCACCAGUGGGAUUUAUAGGAAGCAUUCUCUAGUUGCUGCAACUCCAGGAAGCUAGUGAUCUCUAACUUAAUCAAAUGGAGGCCUAUGCAAGUAUAAAGAAGUGUGUGUACAUUUUAUAGAAUGAAUUUUAGUGAUUUCUAGAUGUAGGUGUGUACAUUUUAUGUAAGUAUAAUGAAGUGUGUAUGUACACACAUGCAUACUUUAAAGGAAUGUCUAGCUCUCUAUAUGUGCAAGUAUAUAUGUGAAUGGUGCAACAACAAUUUAUUAAGUUUGUGAUGUACCAAAAAAACUUGUCGUUUCAUGUCUA